rnacentral:rRNA from 1 species
UACAGGGGGGGCAAGCGUUGUUCGGAAUUACUGGGCGUAAAGGGCUCGUAGGCGGCCAACUAAGUCACACGUGAAAUCCCUCAGCUUAACUGGGGAACUGCGUCCGAUACUGGAUGGCUUGGAUUUGGGAGAGGGAUGCGGAAUUCCAGGUGUAGCGGUGAAAUGCGUAGAUAUCUGGAGGAACACCGGUGGCGAAGGCGGCAUCCUGGACCAAUAUUGACGCUGAGGAGCGAAAGCCAGGGGAGCAAACGGG